CAAUUUCCUAGGCGGCCAUUUUCCCAUUCACCUUAUCUCUUCAAGCCAUAUAUCAUUUAUCUUCCAUUCGAUAUUCUCGAGAGAGAAAGAGAGAUACCGCAGCUCAUUUCUCUUUUCCUCCGUUCACUUCCAUCACCCCCACACUUCUGCCAUCACCACAACAGAUCUACCACCAGCAUCCACUACUUCAUCACCACCAGAACACCUUCUUCAUCUUCUUCUUCUCCAUUUACAUGUCUAAGUUAAACUCUAAUGUUAACUAAAACCCUAAAAAUUAUCUCGAUCGAGCUCUUCUAUCACCACUACCAACACCUUUUUCUUAUGUUAAGUGAAACCCUAAAAAGAAUCACCAGUUGAUUGACGCAUAACUCCAACAACAAUCAACAUCAGGAGCAGUUGGUUUACUCGGUCAACCAACACCUUUCUUAUUGUUUUUUGCAUCUUCUUGAUUGGGUUCUAAUGUAUUCUAUACUAUAUUCAUGGAUUGAAUGAUUGCUUAUGGAUUUGUUGUUGGUGGUGAAGUAUGUUGGUGCUGUUUGGAGGUGCUGCCGCUACUGCUACAAGGUGGUAGUGGUUGUCUCUUAAUAAUUACAUGGUUGAAUAUGUUAAAGCUCAAAGGAACAGCUCGACUGAAACGACUCAAAUUCUUUUUCUGAGAAUAGAUAAGGCUGUCGCUGAAUCAUAUGUGCUGAUAGGAUUAUUACCGCCUUAUGCAUACUAAACUUUGUGGAGAUCACUUCAUUUUCUUCACAAUAUUUGUUUGUUAGCUCAACUCUGGUCAUAUACAUGCAUGCUUCUGCUCACGGGGAUGGAAGAACUGAACAACAUUGUUGAACAUGCGAAACAACGACAUCAUAUCAUUGGGCAGUAUGUGGUGGGGAACAAAGGACCAAGAUGUUGGGACCAAAGAUCAAGCUCUGCAUUGUCAAGCUGUACUAUUCAUUUUGAAGGUAGUUAAGAUUUGAAGCAAGUAGAGAGACGAACACGUCAAUCUAUGGUAUUUGAGGCGGCUGCAACGAAGAAAGCUGAAUUCGCAGCCAAGAGAACUUGCAAUCCACAUGGUUACCUUGUUUUUCCAUUCCUCUGCAUCGUCUUGGAAACUAAAUUUGCCUCCUAAAUCAAUGUUAUAAACUUUUCCCCUAAAUUUCCUACAUCAAGCACAUAAAGCGGACACAAAUCAGGAAACAUCAACCAAUAAAAAUACAGAUUUAAAAUUUUUAGGGUUACCUCCUUCCUCUCCUCGACAUCAACUAAACUUAAAUCGCAGAUACAGCUUAAUUAAUCAAUCAACCAAUAAUAUCUCUGUAUUAUGUACAUUAUCUUUUUUCUUGCAUUUUCUUGAUUGUUCUGUUCCAAAUGAUCAGAUAUGCAAAUUGGACCAAGUAUAAGAUUCGUUUUGAGCAGAUUCAUAUUA